rnacentral:rRNA from 1 species
UACAGAGGGGGCAAGCGUUAUUCGGAAUUAUUGGGCGUAAAGGGCGCGUAGGCGGCCUGGCAAGUGGAAGGUGAAAUCCCUUGGCUUAACCGAGGAACUGCCCUCCAAACUGCUUGGCUUGAGUCCGGGAGAGGUGAGUGGAAUUCCCAGUGUAGAGGUGAAAUUCGUAGAUAUUGGGAAGAACACCGGUGGCGAAGGCGGCUCACUGGCUCGUUUCUGACGCUCAGGCGCGACAGCGUGGGGAUCAAACAGG